AACGAACGCUGGCGGCAUGCCUAACACAUGCAAGUCGAACGAUGCCUUCGGGCAUAGUGGCGCACGGGUGCGUAACGCGUGGGAAUCUGCCCUUGGCUUCGGAAUAACAGUUAGAAAUGACUGCUAAUACCGGAUGAUGUCCCCCUGAGAGAUCUUGGGUACCAAAGAUUUAUCGGCCAGGGAUGAGCCCGCGUAGGAUUAGGUAGUUGGUGGGGUAAAGGCCUACCAAGCCGACGAUCCUUAGCUGGUCUGAGAGGAUGAUCAGCCACACUGGGACUGAGACACGGCCCAGACUCCUACGGGAGGCAGCAGUGGGGAAUAUUGGACAAUGGGGGGAACCCUGAUCCAGCAAUGCCGCGUGAGUGAUGAAGGCCUUAGGGUUGUAAAGCUCUUUUACCAGGGAUGAUAAUGACAGUACCUGGAGAAUAAGCUCCGGCUAACUCCGUG
rnacentral:rRNA from 1 species